AUGGACACGGGCGCAGAUCCUCCGCGCUACCGCCGGCUCAGGAAGGCCUCCGACCUCCGCACCGCCGCCGCCCACCCGCCCCCGAAACGGAUGCGUCCGAGCGAGGAACACACCAGUUUCUGUGAGGACAAGAUCAGCAGCUUACCCGAUGAGAUGUUAAUCAUGAUCGUCGAUAAGCUAGAUGCACGGACGGCGAUAACCACCAGUAUCCUUUCAAAGAGAUGGCGGGAUCUUCCUGCACACUCGCACACAUGUUAUGACCUUGGCGUUGAUGACAUCCUCCCUCCACGCUACCACAGACUGAAGCAAAUGGUGGUGGAGGCUAAGGCAGGGUAUGUGGCAGAGAAGAACGCACUGAACUUGGCCGGCUGUCGGGGAUAUACCCCGCAGUAUGACCCGGCUGGAGAUAUAACCCGGCUAGGAUUGGGUGUUUCAUUAAUGACCCGGCAGACUAUAAGCCGGCAGGAACAGUUAAGUAGGUUAAGCUCGCGGGAACAAGUUGAGCAUUGUAACCCGGCAGACACAGUCAUGUAA
rnacentral:rRNA from 1 species